AGCAAUUCCCCAGGUGUGCGGUUGGGCCAGACGCCAGGCUCCCAAGAACCUCACCUGUGACCCUGGAUGUCCUCACAGGUUAAAGGGUCUCAGGGACCCAGAGACUGGCAAUAUGAUGGAGCUCACAGUCUGAUGGAAGAGACAGAGCCAGCCGCAGACAGUCCCAAUUCCGGGUGAUCAGGGUAUGACACAGGGAGAGGCCAGAGGCUGUGAGAGCCUAGAGCGGGAGGAAUCCUGGCAGCUGGAGACGGCAGAGAGGACCUCCAGAGAAGGCGUGGUUGUGGCAUGACCUCCACUAAGGCCCUUCCAGGCAGAGGGCACAGCUGAAGCAAAGGCCCAAGGCACGAAACCAAGGAGGUGCUGGGAGGACAACAAAGCCCUUAAGUCUGACUAGAGCCUCCGAAGCCAUGAGCCAAGGAGCACAGGAGAUGAGGCUGGGACGAGCGGGUGGGGUCAGAUUCUUAGGGAGUUUCAGGCCAGGCUGGGAACUUAGCCUUCUGAGGGUGACAGGGAGUCCUGGAAGGUUGUGAGCAAGGGGCGGGGACAGGGUUAUAUCUGAAUGUCAGACCCCGCUGAGGCUGUGUGGACUGGAGGGGGAGAGACUGGUGGAGGCUGGGGAGGAGGCCCUCUCCCUGCAGUUUGCCGGCUAAGACCUGGGGAGAGAGGAAGGGGUGGAGCAGGAAUGUGAGGAGCUGGAGAUGGCUGGAGACUGCUGGGCAAUGGGGGCAGAGAACAGGAACCUGUGGGCGGGAAGCAGGUAGGAAAGCAACUCCCUGAGUCUGGCCCAGGAACGGAUGGGGCAGGAGUUGCUUCCAAUGGGGAACCAGGAGGAAGAAGAGGGUAGAGAGAUGCUGUGGGCAGCUGAGAACUUAGUGGACAUUAAGAGCCAGGGACAUUUAGGGAAAACAUUCAGGAUGCAUGGUGCUGGGCUUUCAACAGUGCACCUCCCCCUCUCCCUAUCCUCCAGCCACCCAGUUCUCUCUGGAGAUAGCAUAUAUUCACUAAUUUCUCAUGUAUCCUUCCAGAGGAAUUUUAUACAUCUAUGCACAUAUAUACCAUCCUCCUGUUUUCUGUCCCCAGAUAGGAUCACAGUAUUCUGCACAUUUUUUUUUUUACAUGAAAUCCAAAGAUCUUCCCAUAUCUAGGCUUAUAGAACCUCCUCGUUCAUUUUAAUAGCGAUAUAAUAUUCCAUUGUAUUCAUCUAUUUAUUCCUAGUGUAUUCAGUUAAUUGGGAGAUUGGAAGGUUUUUUUAUGUCAAGAAACUAAUGUUUAUGCAUAUUCAAAUUUGCUUAUUUGUUUAUUUAUUUUUGAGACAGAUUGUCCAGGCUGGAGUGCAAUGGCAUUAUCUCAGAUCACUGCAACCUCUGCCUCCCAGCUUCAAACCAUUCUCCCACGUCAGCCUCCCAAGUAGCUGGAACUACAGGCAUGCGCCAUCAGGCCCGGCUAAUUUUUGUAUAUUUUGUAGAGAUGGGGUCUUGCCAUGUUGGCUGGACUGGUCUUGAACUUCUGACCUCAAGUGAUCCUUGUGCCUUGGCUGAGCCACCGCACCUGGCCCAAAUUUGCUGAUUUUUAAGGUGAUUUUGUCCAAUGCUUUUAAGCCUCUAAACCCAGAUAUUCGAUAAAUGCUUACUUCUAGAUCCUUUAAAUUUUGUUGAUAAUUACUAACAAUGGGAUAAUAAUAAUGACAACAGAUACCCUUUAUUGAAUGACUACUGGGAGCCAGUUCCUGGAAUGAGUAUUUGUUAUACAUUAUAUCAUUGAUUACACAGAAACCUUAUUAUUAGAAACUAUUAUUCUCCCAGUUGUAAGGAUGGAAUACUGAAUAAGAUGUGGUUCUGAAUAGGGAGUUGCCCAAGCUCACAAAGUAUGUGAUAGAGCUAGAGAUUCAAACCCAGGCCUCUCUGGCUCCUUCUUUGGGGUGGGCUGGCUCUGGGAAAAGAUGCUGUUUCUAAGGAUUGACACUGGGUACAUUUAAACGUCAUGCACACAAAUUCAUGUAUGAUUAAGAAGGACCCUUUGUCAGACCCCUCACUUUCACUUGGGAUCUGGAGUUACUGUCACUCUGCAUUCACCUUGGAUGCCCUGUAGACCGAUAAGGACAGUAACCGCAUCACAGUCCUUGUCCUGGCCCUGAACCUGUUGUGUUGUGAUUUUCUACAUCUGGGUCUGUCUUUGGGAAUUUACUGAGGGCACAGUCUAGGUCUGAGUCAUCUCUGUGUCCUCAAUAUCACUCCACCCAGGCAUGGCUCAGAGUAGGGGCUCAGGAAAAUGUUUGCUAAGUGAAUGAAUGAAGAGAUGAGUGAAUAAUAAAUGGCUUGUGGAUUAGGCUGGGACUUGCUUAAGUCCCCAGGAACAGUGACCAUAAUUCCCAUUAGUUCCUGAAACAUAAGGCCUCUGUUCUGUUCUCAUCAGUUAGCAAGUCACAGGGACCACUGGUUCCUUUAUUCUCUGAAAUACAGGACUCCAAAUCUCUCAGCACAUAAGACUCAGCUACUGCAAUUCCUACAAAUAUCCAGAACUCAGGAUCCAUUAUUCCCUUCACUCCCUGUCCCUGAGACAGGGGGCCACCGUUCCCAUCAGACAUUGGUACACAAGUAUAGGUUGAGCAUACCUAAUCCAAAAAUCUCGAAUCGGAAAUGCUCCAAAAUCAAAAACUUUUUGAGCACUGACAUGAUGCCAGAAGUGAAACAUUUCAAUCCAUCACUUGAUCUCAUGUGAUAGAUUGCAGUCAAAACCUUGUUUCAUGGGGCUGGGCACAGUGGCUCAUGCCUGUAAUCCAGCCCUUUGGGAGGCUGAAGCAGGAGGAUCACUUGAGCCCAGGAAUUUGAGACCAGCCUGGGCAACAUAGUGGGAUUCCCAUCUCUACAAUAAAAAAUUUAAAACUUAGUGGAGCAUGGUGAUGCAUGUCUCUUUUCCCAGCUACUAGGGAGGCUGAGGUGGGAGGAUUGCUUGAGCCCAGGAAGUCAAGGCUGCAGUGAGCUGUGAUGGUGCCACUGUCCAGCCUGGUUGACAGAGUGAGACCCUGUCUUCAAACAAACAAAAAACUUCAUUUCAUGCACAAAAAUAUUGUAUAAAAUUGUCUUCAGGCUAUGUGUAGAAGGCAUAUAUAAAUGAAAUGAAAACAAAUGAAUUUUGUGUUUGGACUUGGGUCUCAUCCCCCAAAUCUCUGAUUUUUUGUAUAUGAAAAUAUUCCAGAAUACAAAAUAAAAAGUCAAACCUGAAA